UAGGGAAUCUUCCGCAAUGGACGAAAGUCUGACGGAGCAACGCCGCGUGAGUGAUGAAGGCUUUCGGGUCGUAAAACUCUGUUGUUAGGGAAGAACAAGUGCUAGUUGAAUAAGCUGGCACCUUGACGGUACCUAACCAGAAAGCCACGGCUAACUACGUGCCAGCAGCCGCGGUAAUACGUAGGUGGCAAGCGUUAUCCGGAAUUAUUGGGCGUAAAGCGCGCGCAGGUGGUUUCUUAAGUCUGAUGUGAAAGCCCACGGCUCAACCGUGGGGGGAUCAUUGGAAACUGGGAGACUUGAGUGCAGAAGAGGAAAGUGGAAUUCCAUGUGUAGCGGUGAAAUGCGUAGAGAUAUGGAGGAACACCAGUGGCGAAGGCGACUUUCUGGUCUGUAACUGACACUGAGGCGCGAAAGCGUGGGGAGCAGACAGGAUUAGAUACCCUGGUAGUCCACGCCGUAAACGAUGAGUGCUAAGUGUUAGAGGGUUUCCGCCCUUUAGUGCUGAAGUUAACGCAUUAAGCACUCCGCCUGGGGGAUGUACGGCCGCAAGGCUGAAACUCAAAGGAAUUGA
rnacentral:rRNA from 1 species